rnacentral:snRNA from 1 species
GGAUGUGAGGGCGAUCUGGCUGCGACAUCUGUCACCCCAUUGAUCACCAGGGUUGGUUCGGCUGAUCUGGCUGGCCAGGUGGGUGUUCCCUUCCUCCCUCACUGCUCCAUGUGUGUCCCUCCUGAAGCUGCGUGCUCGGUCGAAGAGGAUGACCACUCCCGAUAGAGGAGGACUGUUUCCUUGGCCUAGGGUAUACGAGUAGCUGCCCUCCCCUGCUAGAACCUCCAAAAAUGUUAGAAAGAGAAAGUGUAUGGAUCGUGUAUAUCACAGCAGGAAGAAGGGUUU